rfam:Felis catus isolate Cinnamon breed Abyssinian chromosome A3, whole genome shotgun sequence.
GCCUGGGUGGCUCAGUCGGUUGGGUGUCUGACUUUGGCUCAGGUUGUGAUCUCACAGUCGUGAGUUCAAGCCCCACGUUGGGCU